UACGGGGGGGGCAAGCGUUGUUCGGAAUUACUGGGCGUAAAGGGCUCGUAGGCGGCCAACUAAGUCAGACGUGAAAUCCCUCGGCUUAACCGGGGAACUGCGUCUGAUACUGGAUGGCUUGAGUUUGGGAGAGGGAUGCGGAAUUCCAGGUGUAGCGGUGAAAUGCGUAGAUAUCUGGAGGAAAACCGGUGGCGAAGGCGGCAUCAUGGACCAACACUGACGCUGAGUGAGCGAAAGCCAGGGGAGCAAACGGG
rnacentral:rRNA from 1 species